CAAUAGCGUAUAUUAAAGUUGUUGCAGUUAAAAAGCUCGUAGUUGGAUUUCUAACGGAUGCGUCUGGUCUCGCCCCGCGAGGGGUUUGCACUGAGUUCGUCGUCUGUUAUCCUUGGAGAGAGCGGCUCUGGCAUUCAGUUGUCGGGGUCGUGGUCCUCCAUUCGUUUACUGUAGAAAAAAUUAGAGUUGUUACAAAGCAAGCUUAGGCUCUGAAUAUAUUAGCAUGGAAUAAUAAGAUAGGACCUUGGUGGUUUAUUUUGUUGGUUUGCACGCCGAGGUAAUGAUUAAUAGGGAUAGUUGGGGGUAUUCGUAUUCAAUUGUCAGAGGUGAAAUUCUUGGAUUUAUGGAAGACGAACUACUGCGAAAGCAUUUACCAAGGAUGUUUUCUAUUAA
rnacentral:rRNA from 1 species